UUAUCCCUUCCCGGACAGAAGAGAAGCUGGGCGGCGGCGUGCUCACUGAGGAGUGCGACGCCAUUGAAGACAUGGAGUUCUUGCUGCAGCCGGUUAACAGGUUUCCAAUCCUUGAGGGGAUGGACGACAGCGAUGGACCUCUGGGCUCUGGCUAUCGGGGAGUACGCCGCGCCAGCAUUUGGAGCUCCACUGCUGGCGGCCAUGCAGCCAUCAGCGGUGGAAGCGAUUAGUGGGGAGGCGCAGCUCGUAGAUGUGGAUGCCGGGCCGGUGGGGAAGCGCAGCUCUCCCAGACUCCGACUUUGUCUCAGCAAUCGAUGGGAAGGUGGAUGGACAAAAGGGCAUCACCAAUUGGGACACAUCCUGUAUGAGUGUAGCACGUACCAAGUUGCAGAAUUGGAGAAGAACAAAUUGUACGCUCCAGUGCACUGUGGGCGGAGCAUCGGGAGAAGUGGUGCAAGGUGUCUUGCAAGAUGACAGUGAUUGAAGAGGGUGAAAAUUUUGAUUGCGAAUAUGAGCAAUUUGCUCAUAUGGGUCUGCUAUGCAACCAUAUCCUGAAAUUCAGUGAGCUGCUGCCAACUAUUUUCACAAUGCAACAUCCAGAAUUUUAACAAUGAAUGGUAGUUGAAUAUGAAAUGGCACACAAGUGCUUUACUUUCAUCCGGGGUGAAGUAAAUACUGGCUAGACAUAUUUUGAAGAGAUGGACAAGGGAUGCUUGGGAUGUGCUGCUGAGUAAUACCGGAAAGAUCAAAUGUACAAACGACAAUUCACAUACAUGCACUUCAAUAUGUAUAUGUUUGCAAUGAGCAGGCUUGCCUUGGAGAAAUAAAGUAUUGAUGCGUACGACAAGCUAAUGUCCCUGUUCGGUGAAUAUGCAGGAGAUGCAGCUUUUCACCGAGGUCAAAGAUGGGCUAGGAUUGGAGGACUCGCCAGCGGAGAACGGAGUUGUUGUAAAUCAGUUGGUGAACCAAAGCAAUGGAGAAGAAAUUUUAGGCCAGAGACAACAUACAAAUCAGUUGGUGGGCCAGUUUACUAACAUAAGGGAGCAGUGUCGUGGCUCAUGACGUCAUCCCCAUCCCUGACCCAGAUUAGGAAACGUGCUUUUCCGUGAUCUGGAGUAUGGAGCAGACAGCAGAGUAGGAGUGAUUGCAGGGAUGGGUUGCUGGCUGAGGGUGUGGUUUACCUCAGGCGGCAGUAUUGGCCCGCUCGUGAGAGAGGCCGCUGCGGGGGUUUACUUUCUGUGGGAACAAAGGCUACCGCCACACAGAUCGGACUGCCACUGGCGGCGAAGAUCGAGUUCUUGAUGCAUCCGAUUAGAAGAUCCACUGUGCUGGAGAAGAUCAAUGAUAGCGACAUACCGAUGAAGCCAGUGAAGGCAGUGAGCGUGGACGACCAGAUCUGCGCUGCGGAGGCGACCGCGGAUGGUGAACUCGAAGGUUCAUAACAGGCAUCCAAGCAAUCUAUUGAGCAGAUGACCCUAAGAAACCUGGAUGGAUGCAAAGGUAUGCCAGUGUUCAGACUUGCAAUCCAUGCUAGUAGUAGGAAAAGAGACUUGUCCACGUUAGUAGUAGAAUUUGAGAAGAAUGGUGUGCCCGUGUUCCGUUUUACUGAAUGUAGUAUGUCUGACAGAUUAGUUCUCCCUGCAUAGGAAAAAGUAGCUCGCUAACUUAGAUGUUUGCAACAUAUUAUGGAGGCAGUUUGCUCUGAAUUGGGAAAAAAGAGAAGUAGCAGAUUCUCAAUUAGGAAUUUUUUUAGCAUGACAUAUAUUUGGGUUAAGCAAUAUUUUAAGUAUCAAGAAGGUGGAAUGAGAAAAAAUUAGUUAGCUAUUCGAUAUCGAGUUUGAUAAUUAGUUGACAGCUAUCAAGUUUGAUAUGAACUGACAAAAUUUGAAGUGAACUGUUAAGUAACAGAGUGUGUGGACGACUGGACGUAUAAAAACAAAAUUGCGAGGAGAUAUGGAUGUUUUUUUGGUCGAACCUUGCAAAGGUAGUAGUUGAAACUUGUUCGUCUGGGUGACACAAGUGUUGAAGCUUAUGAACGUCAGAUAUCUCUAUUCGAAAGCUGCACGGUGAAAAUGCAACCAUUUGCAAAAAUUGAGGAUGGUCUAGGAUUGGAGGACAAAUUGCUGAGCAUGGCGAUGUUAUCAGCCACCCACAUCCAAAAGGGGCGGUUGUGGUUGCAGAGGACAUUGGGUAGUGUGUCGUUGGUAAUGAGGACAACAAUUCAGCUAACGAGUCCGGGAAUAUGUUAGCAAGAUUAUUGGCACUUCAGUAGAGGAAAGAGACGGGCCGGCCUACGACGAUCGGAGAGAAGGUCCCCUACGAAGGUUUAAGCAAGAGAACAAGAUUUAGCGCCAUUUUUCACAAGCAGGGGCACAAGAGGACAACCUGCCGUGACCAAAGAGAUGUUUCGAAGUAGCCUCGAAAGCCAGCCCGCUGCAACAAGGCGUGUGAUGAAUAAAUUGUUAAUGAAAAUCAAUCAUUACUUUGCAUGGUUGUGGGGAAUGUUGUAUGAUGAACCACUUUUCUGUUAUGUUGUACUAGUGACUUAGCCGAUGUAGUGUCUAAACUAUAGAUUAGGUAAGUUUGUGCUUGCAUAUUGAAAGCCAGUGAUAUGAAUCACACUGUUGUUUGUUGUUGUGAAAUGCCUUUAUGCAUGUGAUUGAUGAUUUCGUCGAUAAA